UGAGGAGCUUGACAAAACGAUGGGUGCCGAGGAAGAACACACGGACAUGGCAUACGCUUUGAGCGUCAAGGAACCAUCCGAGGAAAGUUUCAUGGAUCAAUUGUUUGACUUUGCCAAUGAAACAAAAAACGACGGAGCAAUCAACUCGCGGAGAAGUUUAUGUCCACGUUGCAGGCGUCCCCUGAGAGUUUGUUGGUGUCCCUACCUGCCACACGAACGACUGGAGAUAAAGACAAGCGUUUAUAUUCUCCAACAUCCAUUUGAGGAGUCCAGAUGUCUAAAAACGGCCCCCAUGCUCUGUAAUGGCUUGAAGGAAGGUACUUGUCAUGUUUACAAGGGAAAGAGAUUUCCUAAACAUAAGUUCCCUGAGUUGAUGAGAGUCCUGCAGGCUCCCAACACGCUGGUACUUUAUCCCGGCCCUGAUGCUAUUGACAUCUCCGAUGUUCCCACUGACGUCGCCUACAACCUGGUUCUGCUGGAUGGAACGUGGGCCCAGGCAAAGGGUCUUUACUGCCAGAACCACGUCAUUCAGCUGCCAAAGAAGGUACAAAUCAACCACCAGGAGAAGAGUAAGUACGUGAUCCGAACUCAGCCGACCGAUGGCGCCCUGUCCACGCUGGAGUCUGGAGCUGUCGCCAUCUCAGUCCUGGAAAACAGACCCGAAAUAGUAGAGCCGCUGACACGCCCCCUUGUGGCGCUGUGUGACUUCCAGAUCCAGCAUGGUGCCGUGCAGCACCAGAGCAGGGAGUUCAAGAUCGAGAAUGGUCUGUGGAGUAAGGAACUGCCAAAAUCGGUAAAGAAACGGUUAGAAAAAAGAAAACAAGAGAAGGAGACCUACUCAUAACACAGAGAGUCCGAUCAGUGGGACGGAAGAAACCAAAUAUGGACUACGUAGACACAGGCAGUCCGAGGUGCUGCAUGUGAAGAUGGAAGAUGGAAAGUUGUGUGGAAUCCUUGGUUUCAAUUUUGGACAUUUUCAGUUCAAAGGUCAUCACAAACAAUAUGUGUAUGGACCAUCCUAUCCGUGAAGAUCUGGGUUGGAAUAGGUCUUCAGCAACCCAUGCUUGUCGUAAGAGGCGACUAACGGGAUCGGGUGGUCAGGCUCUCUGACUUGGUGGAUGCAUGUCAUCGUAUCCAAAUUGCGUGAAUCGAUGUGCAUGAUGUCAGUCACUGGAUUGUCUGGUCCAGACUCGAUUAUUUACAGACCACCGUCAUAUAGAUGGAAUAUUGCUGAGUGCGGUGUUAAACAACAAAUAAAUGUUGGUAAGGAGUUUGUGUUGAGAUGAAUGUACCUGGCAGAGAACCAAUGAGGAAGAGUGAAACAACUGCCACGGGACUAACAUAGGACUUUUCAAGCUGUAUGCGGCCUGGACAAGAUUCACAACACUUGGCUUGGUUCUACAAGGUGUUUUGAUAUUUAGGAGUGGGUUGGAGAAUAAGGCAAAGUGUGGAUUUUGAAUUAUUCUGUGGCCAAAUUUACAGGUGCUUUUACAAUCCUUUAUAUGAGCUUCAAACAAGAACGGUGUUGUGAUGAAAAUCUAAGCUGUGACUUACUUUAUCAUGUGUCGAUGAAAACAAUAUUGAACAAAGUAAUGACCUGGUAACAAAUUGCAGGAACAGUUAUUGUACAGUACUGUUUUUAUAAGUUUAUUUUUCAAUUUCUACUGAUAAAUGUUUCCUGUAAAUCCUAUAUGAAAAAAACAACUAAUAGUAUUAUCCAGAUUCUAGAUUUGUCAAAUAUAUUGUCUGACAUCCUGGAUAGUAAAUACUAUCAUUAUUGGUUUCAGGCAAUGUGUGGGACUGGUUUCAUCUGAACAGUAGUCAUUGUGCUUGUGCAGGGUUGUGAGUGUAUGUGCAGGGUUGUGAGUGUAUGUGCAGGGUCGUGAGUGUAUGUGCAGGGUUGUGAGUGUAUGUGCAGGGUUGUGAGAGAAUGUGCAGGGUUGUGAGUGUAUGUGCAGGGUUGUGAGUGUAUGUGCAGGGUCGUGGGUGUAUGUGCAGGGUCGUGGGUGUAUGUGCAGAUGUGAGAGAAUGUGCAGGGUUGUGAGUGUAUGUGCAGGGUCGUGAGUGUAUGUGCAGGGUCGUGGGUGUAUGUGCAAGGUUGUGAGUAUGUGCAGGGUUGUGGGUGUAUGUGCAGGGUUGUGAGUGUAUGUGCAGGGUCGUGGGUGUAUGUGCAAGGUUGUGAGUGUAUGUGCAGGGUUGUGAGUGUAUGUGCAGGGUUGUGAGUGUAUGUG
rnacentral:misc_RNA from 1 species